rnacentral:rRNA from 1 species
GAUGAACGCUGACAGAAUGCUUAACACAUGCAAGUCGAUUCGAUUUACCUUCGGGUAUUGAGGAUGGCGGACGGGUGAGUAACGCGUAAGGAACUUGCCUCUUGGUCUGGGACAACUGUUGGAAACGACAGCUAAUACCGGAUAUUAUGAGAUUCUCGCAUGGGAAACUUAUGAAAGCUAUAUGCGCCAAGAGAGAGCCUUGCGUUCCAUUAGCUAGUUGGUGGGGUAAUGGCCCACCAAGGCGACGAUGGAUAGCCGGCCUGAGAGGGUGAACGGCCACAAGGGGACUGAGACACGGCCCUUACUCCUACGGGAGGCAGCAGUGGGGAAUAUUGGACAAUGGACCAAAAGUCUGAUCCAGCAAUUCUGUGUGCACGAUGAAGGUCUUCGGAUUGUAAAGUGCUUUCAGUUGGGAAGAAGCAAGUGACGGUACCAACAGAAGAAGCGACGGCUAAAUACGUGCCAGCAGCCGCAGUAA